AUUCACCUGAUGAGUCCUAAAUAGAACGAAACGCGUGUCUUGGAU
rnacentral:hammerhead_ribozyme from 1 species